CCUACGGGCGGCAGCAGUGAGGAAUAUUGGUCAAUGGACGAGAGUCUGAACCAGCCAAGUAGCGUGAAGGAUGACUGCCCUAUGGGUUGUAAACCUCUUUUAUAUGGGAAUAAAAUGUUCCACGUGUGGGAUUUUGUAUGUAACAUUUGAAUAAGGCUCCGCCAAAUCCGUGACAGCAGCCGCGGUUAUACGGAGGAUCCGAGCGUUAUCCGGGUUUAUUGGGGUUAAAGGGAGCGUAGGGGGAUUGUUAAGUCAGUUGUGAAAGUUUGCGGCUCAACCGUAAAACUGCAGUUGAAACUGGCAGUCUUGAGUACAGUAGAGGUGGGCGGAAUUCGUGGUGUAGCGGUGAAAUGCUUAGAUAUCACGAAGAACUCCGAUUGCGAAGGCAGCUCACUGGACUGCAACUGACACUGAGGCUCGAAAGUGUGGGUAUCAAACAGGAUUAGAUACCCCUGUAGUC
rnacentral:rRNA from 1 species